UCCAUGGAUAGAUGCUAACCAACCAAGGGC
rnacentral:piRNA from 1 species